UGGGGAAUAUUGCACAAUGGGCGAAAGCCUGAUGCAGCAACGCCGCGUGAGGGACGACGGCCUUCGGGUUGUAAACCUCUUUUAGCAGGGAAGCGGUACCUGCAGAAAAAGCACCGGCUAACUACGUGCCAGCAGCCGCGGUAAUACGUAGGGUGCAAGCGUUGUCCGGAAUUAUUGGGCGUAAAGAGCUCGUAGGCGGUUUGUCGCGUCUGCUGUGAAACGCGAGGCUCAACCUCGCGCCUGCAGUGGGUACGGGCAAACUAGAGUGCGGUAGGGGAGAUUGGAAUUCCUGGUGUAGCGGUGGAAUGCGCAGAUAUCAGGAGGAACACCGAUGGCGAAGGCAGAUCUCUGGGCCGAACUGACGCUGAGGAGCGAAAGCAUGGGGAGCGAACAGGAUUAGAUACCCCAGUAGU
rnacentral:rRNA from 1 species